rnacentral:rRNA from 1 species
UCCCCUAGUAACUGCGAGUGAAGCGGGAAAAGCUCAAAUUUAAAAUCUGGCGGUCUGUGGCCGUCCGAGUUGUAGUCUGGAGAAGUGCUUUCUGCGCUGGACCGUGUACAAGUCUCUUGGAAUAGAGCGUCAUAGAGGGUGAGAAUCCCGUCUUUGACACGGACUACCAGUGCUUUGUGAUGCGCUCUCAAAGAGUCGAGUUGUUUGGGAAUGCAGCUCAAAAUGGGUGGUGAAUUCCAUCUAAAGCUAAAUAUUGGCGAGAGACCGAUAGCGAACAAGUACCGUGAGGGAAAGAUGAAAAGCACUUUGGAAAGAGAGUUAAACAGUACGUGAAAUUGCUGAAAGGGAAACGCUUGAAGUCAGUCGCGUUGUCCAGAACUCAGCCUUGCUUUUGCUUGGUGCACUUUCUGGAUUGACGGGUCAGCAUCGAUUUUGAUUGUCGGAAAAGGGCUGGAGUAAUGUGGCACCUCCGGGUGUGUUAUAGACUUCAGCCGCACACGGCGGUCGGGAUCGAGGAACGCAGCGCGCCGUAAGGCAGGGGUUCGCCCACUUUCGCGCUUAGGAUGCUGGCAUAAUGGCUUUAAACGACCCGUCUUGAAACACGGACCAAGGAGUCUAACAUACCUGCGAGUGUUUGGGUGGAAAACCCGAGCGCGUAAUGAAAGUGAAAGUUGAGACCUCUGUCGUGGAGGGCAUCGACGCCCGGACCUGAAGUUUUCUGACGGCUCCGCGGUAGAGCAUGUAUGUUGGGACCCGAAAGAUGGUGAACUAUGCCUGAAUAGGGUGAAGCCAGAGGAAAC